AAUCAGUGCUGAAAAUCGUCUCUCAUCCGCCAAAACAUCUUCGGCGUUGUAAGGUUAAGCCUCACGGUUCAUUAGUACCGGUUAGCUCAACGCAUCGCUGCGCUUACACACCCGGCCUAUCAACGUCGUCGUCUUCAACGUUCCUUCAGGAGACCUAAAGUCUCAGGGAGAACUCAUCUCGGGGCAAGUUUCGUGCUUAGAUGCUUUCAGCACUUAUCUCUUCCGCAUUUAGCUACCGGGCAGUGCCAUUGGCAUGACAACCCGAACACCAGUGAUGCGUCCACUCCGGUCCUCUCGUACUAGGAGCAGCCCCCCUCAGUUCUCCAGCGCCCACGGCAGAUAGGGACCGAACUGUCUCACGACGUUCUAAACCCAGCUCGCGUACCACUUUAAAUGGCGAACAGCCAUACCCUUGGGACCUACUUCAGCCCCAGGAUGUGAUGAGCCGACAUCGAGGUGCCAAACACCGCCGUCGAUAUGAACUCUUGGGCGGUAUCAGCCUGUUAUCCCCGGAGUACCUUUUAUCCGUUGAGCGAUGGCCCUUCCAUUCAGAACCACCGGAUCACUAUGACCUGCUUUCGCACCUGCUCGCGCCGUCACGCUCGCAGUCAAGCUGGCUUAUGCCAUUGCACUAACCUCCUGAUGUCCGACCAGGAUUAGCCAACCUUCGUGCUCCUCCGUUACUCUUUAGGAGGAGACCGCCCCAGUCAAACUACCCACCAGACACUGUCCGCAACCCGGGUAACGGGUCCACGUUAGAACAUCAAACAUUAAAGGGUGGUAUUUCAAGGUCGGCUCCAUGCAGACUGGCGUCCACACUUCAAAGCCUCCCACCUAUCCUACACAUCAAGGCUCAAUGUUCAGUGUCAAGCUAUAGUAAAGGUUCACGGGGUCUUUCCGUCUUGCCGCGGGUACACUGCAUCUUCACAGCGAGUUCAAUUUCACUGAGUCUCGGGUGGAGACAGCCUGGCCAUCAUUACGCCAUUCGUGCAGGUCGGAACUUACCCGACAAGGAAUUUCGCUACCUUAGGACCGUUAUAGUUACGGCCGCCGUUUACCGGGGCUUCGAUCAGGAGCUUCGCUUGCGCUGACCCCAUCAAUUAACCUUCCGGCACCGGGCAGGCGUCACACCGUAUACGUCCACUUUCGUGUUUGCACAGUGCUGUGUUUUUAAUAAACAGUUGCAGCCAGCUGGUAUCUUCGACUGACUUCAGCUCCAUGAGUAAAUCACUUCACCUACGUGUCAGCGUGCCUUCUCCCGAAGUUACGGCACCAUUUUGCCUAGUUCCUUCACCCGAGUUCUCUCAAGCGCCUUGGUAUUCUCUACCUGACCACCUGUGUCGGUUUGGGGUACGAUUUGAUGUUACCUGAUGCUUAGAGGCUUUUCCUGGAAGCAGGGCAUUUGUUGCUUCAGCACCGUAGUGCCUCGUCGUCACGCCUCAGUGUUAAAGUGAACCGGAUUUACCUGGAACACACACCUACACGCUUAAACCGGGACAACCGUCGCCCGGCCAACAUAGCCUUCUCCGUCCCCCCNNNNNNNNNNNNNNNNNNNNCCCCCCUUCGCAGUAACACCAAGUACGGGAAUAUUAACCCGUUUCCCAUCGACUACGCCUUUCGGCCUCGCCUUAGGGGUCGACUCACCCUGCCCCGAUUAACGUUGGACAGGAACCCUUGGUCUUCCGGCGAGCGGGCUUUUCACCCGCUUUAUCGUUACUUAUGUCAGCAUUCGCACUUCUGAUACCUCCAGCAACCCUCACAGGCCACCUUCACAGGCUUACAGAACGCUCCCCUACCCAACAACACCUGAGUGUCGCUGCCGCAGCUUCGGUGCAUGGUUUAGCCCCGUUACAUCUUCCGCGCAGGCCGACUCGACCAGUGAGCUAUUACGCUUUCUUUAAAUGAUGGCUGCUUCUAAGCCAACAUCCUGGCUGUCUGGGCCUUCCCACAUCGUUUCCCACUUAACCAUGACUUUGGGACCUUAGCUGGCGGUCUGGGUUGUUUCCCUCUUCACGACGGACGUUAGCACCCGCCGUGUGUCUCCCGUGAUAACAUUCUCCGGUAUUCGCAGUUUGCAUCGGGUUGGUAAGCCGGGAUGGCCCCCUAGCCGAAACAGUGCUCUACCCCCGGAGAUGAAUUCACGAGGCGCUACCUAAAUAGCUUUCGGGGAGAACCAGCUAUCUCCCGGUUUGAUUGGCCUUUCACCCCCAGCCACAGGUCAUCCGCUAAUUUUUCAACAUUAGUCGGUUCGGUCCUCCAGUUAGUGUUACCCAACCUUCAACCUGCCCAUGGCUAGAUCACCGGGUUUCGGGUCUAUACCCUGCAACUUAACGCCCGGUUAAGACUCGGUUUCCCUCCGGCUCCCCUAUACGGUUAACCUUGCUACAGAAUAUAAGUCGCUGACCCAUUAUACAAAAGGUACGCAGUCACACAGGUAAACCUGUGCUCCCACUGCUUGUACGUACACGGUUUCAGGUUCUUUUUCACUCCCCUCGCCGGGGUUCUUUUCGCCUUUCCCUCACGGUACUGGUUCACUAUCGGUCAGUCAGGAGUAUUUAGCCUUGGAGGAUGGUCCCCCCAUAUUCAGACAGGAUACCACGUGUCCCGCCCUACUCAUCGAGCUCACAGCACAUGCGCUUUUGUGUACGGGGCUGUC
rnacentral:rRNA from 1 species